rnacentral:ncRNA from 2 species
ACCUUAUCCCGUGGUGAUUUGGCCGGUCGGCUUGCAGCCACGUUAAACAAGUCGCUAAAGGACCGAUUUCGGACCGGU